rnacentral:rRNA from 1 species
GACGGAGGAGGCUAGCGUUGUUCGGAAUUACUGGGCGUAAAGCGCGCGCAGGCGGCCAUGCAAGUCAGAGGUGAAAGCCCGGGGCUCAACCUCGGAACUGCCUUUGAGACUGUGUGGCUCGAGACCGGGAGAGGAGAGUGGAAUUCCCAGUGUAGAGGUGAAAUUCGUAGAUAUUGGGAAGAACACCAGUGGCGAAGGCGGCUCUCUGGCCCGGACCUGACGCUGAGGCGCGAAAGCGUGGGGAGCAAACAGG